rnacentral:lncRNA from 1 species
AUGGAAUCCCCCAUGGCUGGGAUCUCAUCUUUUAGGGGUCUCACUUUUCACACUAGAAAGAUUGGCCUCUUCCUGGAACACGCCCUGCAUGUUCCAUCCUUUACCUGGCCUUCUGCUUCCAGGGAGGUUGGCGCAUACCAGGCCACAGGCCUGAGAGCAGGAGGCCUGGGACGGCUGACCUCCACUGUUACUGGAAUCGUCCCUCCGCCUACCGAGCCCAGGGUCAUUAACGGGCAGCAGUGCCCGCAUGUCACACCCCGAUGUCUUCGUGGUGAUCUCUGUAAAGUCAGGCAGGUCCUUUAUUCCCAGAAACCAAGGCCCACAGAGGGAUCAGGCACAUUCAGGGUGGAGCCUGUGCCCAGCCUGCAGCCCCACAGCCUCAGAGCACAUCCCCCUGCAGAGGCUGUCACAAUGGAUCACUCUGCACAGGACCCCCAGGACCCCCCGGCAGGAUCCAGGGUUCACAGGAAACACCUUCCUUCUCACUUCCUCAGGGCCACCCUGUGGUCGGGUCUCUGGCCUGGACAGCCAGGCCCUGCAGCAUCCUGUCUUUUGUUCCUGCUCCACCAUGGUCACUGCGGUGGGGAGAAGCUUCCUGAGAUGCUGCAGGCUGCCCAGCCGAGGCUGCAGGGACACAUAGGGGACACGCUGAGAACUCUGGGCAACCCUCUGGAAACUUCCACAGGGUGUUGGGGUCCCCUGCUGAGCCCAACAACUCCGCAGGGUCAGGAUGCUUCGCUGUCCUUGGCCUCUUGGGGCUGUGGCCAAGAUGAAAGCAGAAGGAGUCUCAUUUUCACAUCCUCAGAAGUCCCAGUCAGAAGUCAAGCCUUGCCUUGGUCCCUGGGGGAAUCCCAGAGGAAGCUGAGACCACCUACGGGACCACGGCAGCUUGUUUGCGAGGGCCCCACAGCGCGGCUUCCCUCUCCCGCCCCACCUUCCGUCUUAGCCCCUCCCUUUCCCCACAGCCGGGAACCACUUGCCGCCCUCCGGGGCCUGGUAGCACUCCGACAACGACUCCGCUGGUUCUGCUCCAACACCCUCAGCUUUCCCAGAGGGCACCUUCCCUGUCCUGCGGGGCUGGCCUCCUCUCUGGGCCCCCGUCCCCUCCGCCACAGCCUGUUCCGCCCAAGACCCCUACUCUUCCCAAAAGGCCCAGGCGCAGCUGCCCCCCGUGACCUCAGCACAGUCUGGCAGAGGGUGGGGCUGGCUGGGCCCCUGGAGCUGCUGCGCCGACCCUUCCCUGGAACCUACUCCAAACAGAACCCCCUCAGCCUAGCCUCAGCACCCAUCAAACCCGAACUGUCCUGUUGUCUGUAG